AUUGAACGCUGGCGGCAGGCCUAACACAUGCAAGUCGAACGGUAACAGGAAGCAGCUUGCUGCUUCGCUGACGAGUGGCGGACGGGUGAGAAAUGUCUGGGAAGCUGCCUGAUGGCAGGGGAUAACUACUGGAAACGGUACCUAAUACCGCAUAAUGUCGCAAGACCAAAGAGCGGGACCUACAGGCCUCUUGCCUUUCGCUGUGCCCAGGUGGCAUUCUCCUGUUGGUGGGGUAACGGCUCACCAAGUCGCCGAUCCCUAGCCGGUCUGAGAGGAUGACCAGCCACACUGGAACUGAGACACGGUCCAGACUCCUACGGGAGGCAGCAGUGGGGAAUAUUGCACAAUGGGCGCAAGCCUGAUGCAGCCAUGCCGCGUGUAUGAAGAAGGCCUUCGGGUUGUAAAGUACUUUUAGCGGGGAGGAAGGGAGUAAAGUUAAUACCUGUGCUCAUUGACGGUACCCGCAGAAGAAGCACCGGCUAACUCCGUG
rnacentral:rRNA from 1 species